GAUGAACGCUGGCGGCAUGCCUUACACAUGCAAGUCGAACGGCAGCACGGACUUCGGUCUGGUGGCGAGUGGCGAACGGGUGAGUAAUGCAUCGGAACGUGCCCUGGAAUGGGGGAUAACGUAGCGAAAGUUACGCUAAUACCGCAUAUUCUGUGAGCAGGAAAGCAGGGAAUCGCAAGACCUUGCGUUCUGGGAGCGGCCGAUGUCGGAUUAGCUAGUUGGUGGGGUAAAAGCCUACCAAGGCGACGAUCCGUAGCGGGUCUGAGAGGAUGAUCCGCCACACUGGGACUGAGACACGGCCCAGACCUCCGUACGGGACGGCAGCAGUGGGGAAUUUUGGACAAGUGGGCGGAAG
rnacentral:rRNA from 1 species